rnacentral:lncRNA from 1 species
AAUGAAUUCUUAGUUUUUACUAUUUUAUUGAGUCUUUUCAUUUUUAGGAUGGAUUCCUUGGCUUUUUUUCGGUUCUUUUCCUGAGGAUAGUCCCUUUGAACCGAGUGUCUUUUAUUUUUUUUAGGAAUAAAUUUUCAUUUUUUAUUUUAUUUUAUUGGAGAGAAAAGAAAAGACCCUUUUGAGUUGUGUGAUACUUGCUAUUUGGG